rnacentral:rRNA from 1 species
CACGUAGGGGGCAAGCGUUGUCCGGAUUUAUUGGGCGUAAAGAGCUCGUAGGCGGUUCGGUAAGUCGGGUGUGAAACCUCCAGGCUCAACCUGGAGACGCCACCCGAUACUGCUGUGACUAGAGUCCGGUAGGGGAGCGUGGAAUUCCUGGUGUAGCGGUGAAAUGCGCAGAUAUCAGGAGGAACACCCGUGGCGAAAGCGGCUCUCUGGGACGGUACUGACGCUGAGACGCGAAAGCGUGGGGAGCAAACAGG